rnacentral:rRNA from 1 species
AUGGCCCUGAUGGAUUCUUUAGAACAACUCAGAGAAUUUCAGGAAAUAGUUUGCACAAGGUACCUGACAGACAACGCGACCCUACAGACACUAGAGCAAGUAGAUCGAGCAGCCUCAAGUAGACUAGUCGAUGCCAACCGCACGAAUGAAAUCGUAGCGACAACAGAACCAAGAGAAAGGAGAAAAAGAAAGAAAGAAGAAGAAGACGAAGAGAGGAAGAGAAGAACAAAAUCAAGGGACGAUGAACUCCAACAGCAGGAUGAUGUCAAUAACCCCAAAAACAAGAAUGAACGCAACAAACAAAGCAACCUCACAACAGACAAUGCUACAACAACAACUACCCCAACACAAGCACAAGAUACGAUCGACGUCAGAACCAGUGAAGAGGCUCAGCUAGAGAACAAUCAAGUCAGCAGUCCCGCCAACCAAAUGCAAGAGCAUGACCCACAAUCAACCGUUAGCAUAAAAACGGCAAAGAAGAAGAAAACAACAAAGAGGAGGUAUCACAAGCACUGCAAGACCAAGAGACAACCCUGUUGA